rfam:Mus musculus chromosome 4, GRC primary reference assembly.
GGUAGGUGGGUUUUUUGUUCAACUGGUAGACAUAAAAGGCAUGAAAAACAGGUGCAAAAAUGAAUAAUCUUUUGCAACCAAUAACUCAUUCUACAGUAUGAGUUUUGAUAUGUUUAAGAAGGAGUAUA